rnacentral:rRNA from 1 species
UAAAGAUAAUAAGGGCGUACGGUGGAUGCCUUGGCGAUAUCAGCCGAAGAAGGACGCGGUAAGCUGCGAUAAGCUACGGAGAGGUGCAAGCAACCUGUGACCCGUAGAUUUCCGAAUGGGGGAACCCGGCAGUGGUUAUGCACUGUCACCCAUAGCUUAGACUAUGAGGAGGGCACCCGGGGAACUGAAACAUCUAAUUACCCGGAGGAACAGUAAUCAAACGAGAUUUUCUUAGUAGCGGCGAGCGAACGGGAAAGAGGCCAAACCGGAGCGGGCAACCGCACCGGGGUUGAGGACAGUCAUCAAGUGUAAAUGAGGUAGAAGAAUCGAGCUGGAAAGCUCAGCCGCAGAAGGUGAAAGCCCUGUAAUCGAAACCUUGCAUACACGGGACUGUAUCCAGAGUACCACGAGACACGUGAAACCUUGUGGGAAGCAGGGGGGACCACCCUCCAAGCCAAAAUACUGAUAUCGACCGAUAGCGCAUAGUACCGUGAGGGAAAGGUGAAAAGAACCCCUGGCGGGGAGUGAAAGAGAACCUGAAACCGUAUGUCUACAAACAGUCGAAGUCUGUAUAUAUAUCAGGACGACGGCGUGCCUAUUGAAGAAUGAACCGACGAGUUACUGUUGCUAGCGAGGUUAAGUGGAAAACAUGGAGCCGCAGCGAAAGCGAGUCUGAACAGGGCGUUCAGUUAGUAAUAGUAGACCCGAAACCGUAGUGAUCUAUCCAUGGCCAGGUUGAAGCACAGGUAAAAUUGUGUGGAGGACCGAACUCGUGAGCGUUGAAAAGCUUUGGGAUGAGUUGUGGAUAGGGGUGAAAUGCCAAUCGAACACGGAGAUAGCUGGUUCUCCCCGAAAUAGCUUUAGGGCUAGCCUCGAGGUAGAGAGUAUAGGCGGUAGAGCACUGAUCGGGCUAGGGGCCAUACCGGUUACCGAACCUAGUCAAACUACGAAUGGCUAUACUUAUACUCGGGAGUCAGACAGUGAAUGAUAAGGUCCAUUGUCAAGAGGGAAACAGCCCAGAACACCGACUAAGGUCCCCAAUGUUACACUAAGUGGCGAAGGAUGUGGAAUUUCCAAAACAACCAGGAUGUUGGCUUAGAAGCAGCCACCAUUUAAAGAGUGCGUAAUAGCUCACUGGUCGAGAGACUCUGCGCCGAAAAUGUCCGGGGCUAAAGUGUAAAACCGAAGUCGUGUCAUAUGCAGCAAUGUAUAUGGGUAGGGGAGCGUUCUCAUCGGGCUGAAGCAGUACCGUAAGGAGUUGUGGACUGAUGAGAAGUGAGAAUGUCGGUAUGAGUAGCGAAAAGAAUGGUGAGAAUCCAUUCCACCGAAAGCCUAAGGGUUCCUGAGCAACGAUCGUCGUCUCAGGGUAAGUCGGGACCUAAGCCGAGGCGGAAAAGCGUAGGCGAUGGACAACAGGUUGAAAUUCCUGUACCGGUGUGAAUCGUUUGAUCGAUGGAGUGACACAGUAAGGUAGGUCAGCACGCGAUUGGAAGUGCGUGUUUAAGCAGGUAGGUUGAGCUAUAGGCAAAUCCGUAGCUCUAAAAGCUGAGAUGUGAUGACGAGCGACUAGCAAUAGUCGCGAAGUGAUUGAUCCUACACUGUCGAGAAAAGCUUCUAGGUAGAGACACAUCGCCCGUACCAAAACCGACACAGGUAGGCGGGGAGAGAAUCCUAAGGUGCGCGGGAAAACCCUCGUUAAGGAACUCGGCAAAAUGCCUCCGUAACUUCGGGAAAAGGAGGACUCAUGUAGUGUGAAGAGCAGAAGCGCUUGGAGCAUGAAUGAGUGGCACAAGAGAGGCGCAAGCGACUGUUUACCACAAACACAGGUGCCUGCUAAAGCGAAAGCUGAUGUAUAGGUGCUGACACCUGCCCGGUGCUGGAAGGUUAAGAGGAGGGGUUAGACUUCGGUCGAAGCUCUGAAUUGAAGCCCCAGUAAACGGCGGCCGUAACUAUAACGGUCCUAAGGUAGCGAAAUUCCUUGUCGGGUAAGUUCCGACCCGC